GUCCCUUUGCAGCCAUUGUCUGGGAGCCUGCAUGUUACCUGGAAUGAUAUUUGAAACAUGUCACCCUAGCCAUGCCUUUGCUGUGGGCUGGGAGGCGAGUCAGUCAGAAUCUGCAUUAUGGAAUGUUUUGGAUGACAAGCUUGUAUUUGCAAAAGUACACACCCUGUGGGAGGUGCUCUGUACAUACACUGAGAUACUGCACAUAAAAUUGCCUCUGAAGCCCAAUGAUCUGAAAGCCCGGUCCUCAGCCUUUGAUAAUUUCAGCUGUUUUAUGAAAGUCCCCCAAGUGGAUAAAAAUAUCAUCAAGCCGGAGCAAGAGUUUUUCAUUUCCCUAUUUGAGAAGAGCUGCGUGAAUGACUUUUAUAUUCAGGAUAGAGAUACAUUCUUCAAUCCAGCCACCAGAAGCCGCAUUUGCAACUUCAGCCUCCAUCAGAGGACCUCAGCUGCCCCAGCGAACAGGGCCUUCUGUACAGGGAAUGGGCUCCUCCUCGAAGCAUAGACAAGAAGCAGCCCUUAGAUCUCAUCAUGUGAGCUGCUGUGGAGAGCAAUCCAGUGGGAAGGGCUCAGGGUUGCCCUCAUGGCAUCUGAGUGUGACAGUCCUCCAAGAGUGUUAUCAACC